rnacentral:rRNA from 1 species
GAUGAACGCUGGCGGCGUGCCUAAUACAUGCAAGUCGAGCGAACGGACGAGAAGCUUGCUUCUCUGAUGUUAGCGGCGGACGGGUGAGUAACACGUGGAUAACCUACCUAUAAGACUGGGAUAACUUCGGGAAACCGGAGCUAAUACCGGAUAAUAUUUUGAACCGCAUGGUUCAAAAGUGAAAGACGGUCUUGCUGUCACUUAUAGAUGGAUCCGCGCUGCAUUAGCUAGUUGGUAAGGUAACGGCCUACCAAGGCAACGAUGCAUAGCCGACCUGAGAGGGGGAUCGGCCACACUGGAACGGAGACACGGUCCAGACUCCUAAGGGAGGCAGCAGUAGGGAAUCUGCCGCAAUAGGCGAAAACCUGGCGGAGCAACGGCGCGUGAGUGAUGGAGGUCUUCGGAUCGUAAAACUCUGUUAUUAGGGAAGAACAUAUGUGUAAGUAACUGUGCACAUCUUGACGGUACCUAAUCAGAAAGCCACGGCUAACUACGUG